AACGAACGCUGGCGGCAGGCCUAACACAUGCAAGUCGAGCGGACCCUUCGGGGUUAGCGGCGAACGGGUUAGUAACGCGUGGGAACGUGCCCAAAGGUACGGAAUAGCCUCGGGAAACCGGGAGUAAUACCGGAUAAGCCCUACGGGGGAAAGAUUUAUCGCCAAAGGAUCGGCCCGCGUUGGAUUAGGUAGUUGGUGAGGUAAUGGCUCACCAAGCCGACGAUCCAUAGCUGGUUUGAGAGGAUGAUCAGCCACACUGGGACUGAGACACGGCCCAGACUCCUAGGGGAGGCAGCAGUGGGGAAUCUUAGACAAUGGGGGAAACCCUGAUCUAGCCAUGCCGCGUGAUCGAUGAAGGCCUUAGGGUUGUAAAGAUCUUUCAGUGGGGAAGAUAAUGACUGUACCCACAGAAGAAGCCCCGGCUAACUCCGUGCCAGCCGCCGCCGUAAGAC
rnacentral:rRNA from 1 species